ensembl:lncRNA
GUCCUCCUCCGGGCGGUCAUUUUGGCUGCUCGGGUGUGUUCAUCCCUACAGAAGUUCGGGAGCGCUGAGUCGGGGCGGCCAGCACAGGACCGAGGAAGGGUCAGAGGCGUCUUUGUUCCAGCUGCACAAAGGCGAGUGUGAGGCUCGGCCGCGGCGUCGCGCGAGAUGAUACGCACCCGGGCCGGUUUAAGGACCGCCGGCCCUCUUCCUGCCCCGUUCCGCCCACAGGCCUGGAUGGCGGCGGCCGCGCCGAUGGACCCGGUUCAGGUAAGCCGGCUGCGAAUAAAUGUAACCCUUGAGUUUUCCUGUUUAAGUUCACUACCGGGAGUGUGAUUAGAUGUGCGAGAGGGUUACGGGCCCAGGAACCAGCAUGUGCCAAGGCUCGGAGUUGGGACUGAGCCGUGAGAACUCGGAAAACCUGGGGUCCGCUGUGCCCGGCUGGGGAAAAGUUUGAGGCGGAGUCUCGCCUGGACUAGCCGGCUGAGGGUACUACUUAUGUUCCCAGGACUCUUGAGAGCUAUGGAGAAUUUUUAAACCAAGGAAGCACGCGAACUGCAGUAAGUUUUUAAGUUUUCCAAAGGUUCUGUAACGGAGGAACAGACUGAAGGAGGGGAAUGAAGACGUUGGGGCACAGGAGGUUGGAUCUUUGUUUAGGUACCCAGAGCUGGUAAGGUGAGACAUGGAGGCACAGGAGGUAGACAUCCAGCCCUAGUUCACUAGGCUCACGGGCCAGGCAUGGGUACCCAGGGGCCUGAGGCCGUUGAAACGCGGUGUGAAUAUAUGGUUGUCACUAUCCGUCAUCUGUCUCUCAAAACGUGGCUGCGGAAGUGCUUAUGGAACCUGCAUAGGUAUGUGUUGGGUGUUUCCUGCUCUUACUGUUCCCUACCCUCACCCACAUACUCUCUGUAUUAUGGUGUCCUGGAAUUUUUUACAUUUCAUUCCUCUAGACCUUCGAUCUGGGGACUCUGCAGAAACCUCAAGCCCAGGGGCUCGGGUCAGUACCAAGGACUAUAUGGAGGUAUUUCCAUUUCUGGCACCUGAUGUAGACAAGUGUGGAAAGUUUAUCCCAGUACCAGGGAGGGAAAAAUGCUCAGAGGUAAAGCUCAGCUGGAAUCAUUAAGGUCUUCUUUCUUGUAAGAGCAAAGGAGCAGGAGGACGUGACUCAGAACUGGAAUGGCAGCCUGAGAAGUUGCGUAUCCAUUCUGGAGUUGAUGGGAAGUUUAGAUCAGAGGAGGGGAAUGAUCUUACCUAGGUCUCAACAGGCUCCAUCGGGUUGCAGAGUGGAGAAGAGAUGGUAAGGCUGAGGGAAGAGGAGGGAAAACUGGGGUGGAGGUUUUUACAGUAGUCCACUUAAGGGCUCAUGGGACAGAGUGGUGGCUCAGAAGUGGCUGCAUUCUGGAUGUGUUUCUGUUAAGGGUUAACUAGAUUUCCUACUGUGGAAGGAAAGUGUCUUGGUCUGCUUGUGUUCCCAUUAUAAAAUACCAUAAACUAGGUGACUUAAAAACACCAGAAGGGAAUUCCUGUUGUGGCUCAGCAGGUUAAGAACCCAACUAAUAUCCACGAGGAUGCAGGAUCGAUCCUUGGCCUCGAUCAGUGGGUUAAGGAUCCAGUGUUACCGUGAGCUCUGGUGUAGGUUGCAGACAUGGGUCGGAUCUGGCGUUGCUGUGGCUGUGGUGUACGCCAGCAGCUGCGGCUCCGAUUUGACCCCUAGGCUUCGAACUUCCACGUGCUAUGGGUGUGGUCCUAAAAAGACAAAACAGGAGUUCCCAUUGUGGCUCAGUGGUUAACAGAUCCGACUAGGAAUGAUGAGGUUGUGGGUUGAUCCUUGGCCUCGCUCACUGGGUUAGGGAUCCGACGUUGCCGUGAGCUGUGGUGUAGGUCGAAGACGUGCCUCGGAUCCCGAGUUGAUGUGGCUCUUCCAUAGGCCGGUGGCUGUAGCUCCGAUUCGACCCCUAGCCUGGGAACCUCCAUAUGCCAUGGGAGUGGCCCUAGAAAAG